UACAGAGGUCUCAAGCGUUGUUCGGAUUCAUUGGGCGUAAAGGGUGCGUAGGCGGCUUGUCGCGUCGAAUGUGAAAUCUCAGGGCUCAACUCUGACAUUGCAUUCGAUACGGGCAGGCUUGAGUUCGGUAGGGGAGACUGGAAUUCCCGGUGUAGUGGUGAAAUGCGUAGAUAUCGGGAGGAACACCAGUGGCCGAAGGCGGCUUUCUGGCCCGUUUCUUGACGCUGAGGCGCGAAAGCUAGGGUAGCAAACGGG
rnacentral:rRNA from 1 species